UACGUAGGGGGCUAGCGUUGUCCGGAAUCAUUGGGCGUAAAGAGCGCGUAGGCGGCUAGAUAAGUCCGGUGUGAAAGUCACAGGCUCAACCUGUGAAUGCCGCUGGAAACUGUCUGGCUAGAGUCCGGAAGGGGCGAGUGGAAUUCCUGGUGUAGCGGUGAAAUGCGCAGAUAUCAGGAGGAACACCGGUGGCGAAGGCGGGUCUCUGGGCAGUAACUGACGCUGAGGAGCGAAGGCGUGGGGAGCGAACAGG
rnacentral:rRNA from 1 species